UACAGAGGGUGCAAGCGUUAAUCGGAAUUACUGGGCGUAAAGCGCACGUAGGCGGUUUUUUAAGUCAGAUGUGAAAGCCCCGGGCUCAACCUGGGAACUGCAUUUGUGACUGCAAGGCUAGAGUACGGCAGAGGGGGAUGGAAUUCCGCGUGUAGCAGUGAAAUGCGUAGAUAUGCGGAGGAACACCAAUGGCGAAGGCAAUCCCCUGGGCCUGUACUGACGCUCAGGUGCGAAAGCGUGGGGAGCAAACAGG
rnacentral:rRNA from 1 species